GGAGAGGCGCGUGAGUGUGCUUUCCCGCUGACUGACUUCAGGAGAAGAUAGGAGAGAAAAACAGAGAAAAAACAGGUUAAAAGUUAAAAAAAACGUAAAUACAGCUGAUUUAACAGCAUUUAUAACUUGUCGGUGAACAGAAAACGCAAGGGGGACAGCUUUUCGUCGAAGAACGACGAGUUUAUUACAAUGUUUGCACUGGUUUCUUGAUCGGAUGAUCAAUUUGGACCAAUCCCUUGAUGGAGGGUUUCCUUCGUUCCGUGGACAACCUUGAGCUCUAGAAAUCAACAAGAGCUGGGGUGGCAUACAUGGUUGAAUGGGACAUUUUAGCAAGGAGAUCAUUGCAAGGGACGCAACUGAGGAGCAGCUUGGAAGAGGACGUGAAAUUAAAGUAUCACUCAGCCGUACCGUGGGAGCCUGGUCUGCACUGUGCUUGCUCUCCUCGUGGACGCGCUGCAGCAGGUUGUCCUCAGAAUGGGACUUGAACUCCAGUUUCUGCAGGCUCUGCAGACGGAAGUUGACCGGGGGUCUCCGUCUGGGCUUUAACCGGUGAGCCACUGAGAGCCGAGAGCCAAACGAGCUCUCUUCCUCUUCCUCCUCCUCCUCUUCCUCCCUUUCUUCCUCAUUCUCUUCCUCAGCUGUGGUCACAUCUUCUGCCUUUGUGCUUCCUCCCUCCUCCUCAGUGUCUGCCUCUCCGUCCUCCUCCGUGCUGUCCCCCUCGCUGGUGGCCGUCCGGCUCUGCAGCUCCAGCAGGGACUCGGGCGAGAGGGUGCCGUAGGCGCUGUCCAUGGAGAGAGAGCGGUACUGUGGGUCCAGCUCUGACCCGUCCAGGGGGUCGGUCUCUGGAGCAGGUGGGAUCUGCUGGGGUUCAGAGCUACUGAGGACAAUAGAAGGGGCUUCAUAGCGGGGGGCGCCGGGGUCAGCCUGCAGCGCGGAGGCAUCUGAGCUCGCCCCAGAAUCCUCUAUUUCUACCACAGACAGAGUCUCCGUUGAGCCGUCUGAGUUUCUGAGGGGAGAAGAAGGAGAGGAAUAACCUCCAGUCUCUGUUUCAGUCUGGCCUGCCGCCGCCGAGCCUCCUCAGAGCGCAGACGCUGGAGCUGGUUCUGAAAAUCAUAUGAAUAUAGCCACAGGUAAAACUCACCGUUUGGAAGCCCAGGUGCAUGUCAGUUGGGUCCAGCAGGCUCCGAUCUCGGCGUGCCCGUUCUAGUGCUGGCAGCAUGACCUGGUUCCACAGCGCCGUGUGCACUCGGACCAGGUCCUGGAUGUUGUUGAAGAGUUUAGCCGGCUCCACCUCAACCAGUAGCCCACAGUCCUGUAGGUUCAGCAGGCCACACAGGAACAGCUGCACCACAGAGCACAAACACAGAACAUCACCCUCCAAAAACUUCAUGCGACUGGAUUUUCAAACAAGCCCAAUUUGUCGGGAAAACUGCGAACCUGGCAACACUGUAUCUGCUGCAGGACGGCGCCUGACCCCUAAAGGGAUAACAGAGUUGGGAAGAGAAGUUUCCUAAUUGGCCAGAAUGGCUGUUGUGAGCCGGGGUUUGGGGGGAGGUGGGGGGAAAACACAGGAUAGUGAUUUUACGAGAAACUGAAAUCUACACAGCUCCAGGAAGCUCCCAAUCUUAGAGAAAAAUGGCAUAAACUGUAGUUUCACUUUCUGUUCAGGAUUGCUCUGAUUCCAGACUUUAGGGGAAAUUCCGCAUUCAGGAAGACAGUCACUGGUGUUCCUUGAACUUUUCACUAGAUGUGCAGAUGGAGGGAGGGAAUGUGUACAGGGUUGGGAAAUAAGGCUUGGCUAGUACAGUAGAGUGGUAUUAAAUUAACCAAAAGAGCUGACAUUUUUUGAAUGAUUACAUGUGUGAUUUUGAUAUAUAUACAUGGAGUGUUUUCAAUAACUCGAGAACAUUAUUUAUGCUGUGUGACAGCGAGCUCCAGAUAACCCAGGCCUGGGAAAUGCUGUGGUUUCCAGAGUGAACACAGUUCCAAACGUUUCUUCACCAAAAUGCAAGCCGGGGAAGAAGAAUCCACUAAAGCGGCUGGCUGCGCGGUUCUUGCGGUUAUCAAAUCCAGGAGGGAGGCUGGGAAGAGAACCCCCUAGCCCGGCCAGAGAGUCUGGAGACGGGAUGUUUUCAUCACCUAGGAACUUGGUCAUGUUUUUUGUCCGACGUGUUUGACCCUGGGAGGGUGAGAGAAAGAGAGAGAUAAUGUAAGUUACAAUGAAGUUUAAGAAGCCUCUAAACACUAAA